rnacentral:misc_RNA from 1 species
GAAUGAUCCACCAAUAUCCUUAGAGUGAAUUUUUCACCCUCCAGGACUGGAACGAAGUUACCAUAAAUUUGUUUGUUAACGUCAUUUGCUGCAGAAGACCUUGAUUGGUCUGUGCAGAAGAAAGUUUUGAGGGUGCCGUUACUUCCUUUUGUAACGUAGAAGUAUACAGGGGUAUGCUCGGCAAGGCUGUCAUCAGCAAGAACCAGAAG